UGUGUGUGUGUGUGUGUGUGUGUGUGUGUCCAUGUAUGAGCGGCGCGUCGGCGGAGCUAUGAAUGGGCAGAGAGGGGUGUGCUCUCACAGACACCAUAGCAGCAGUGAGAUGAGGAGUGCCAUCUACUCCACUGCACGUCUGCUGAACUGAGAGGAGAGAAGAGAAGGAAGAGGGGAGAAAAGGAGUUAUACAGUCAGAGUUUUCCAAAGGACAUCAUCUAUCUUAAGCCUCCAUCGGCACUGAACCUCUCCUGAGGGGGGAAAAAAAAAAGUCAGCCAUGGAGCAGAAGACAAAUGAGAGUCCCACCACCACCUCCCCUCAGAAGCACAUGAAGAACAGGUCCAAAUCCACAGAGGAGAUGCAACAGUCGAAGAAGGCCUUUUCCUCACAAAAAUCACUCCCAGGCAGACCAGAGCUGGACAAAGUGAAGGAGUGUCCCGAUGGCUCUGACGUGCCCUCGUCCUCCACUGAGGAACUAAAGUGAUAAAUAAAAAGGCUCAGUAGGACAAUAAAGCUGUCAUCAAACUACAUGAUAACAUGAUCAUCAUAAGAACAACAUGAUUCAUACAUAAAAAUGUACAUAUGUGCGCAGGGAAACUAGAAAAAAACUGAGGAUAAUAGUGAACUAGAUUAGAAAAUAUGCAAGCAAAGAGGUGAUGAUUGGUUGAAGGAAACGGUAUAAAAAAUGGUAAAUUGAACACAAACACACAAACUCAUGCAAUCUCAGACAAUCGGAUGAGAAGAAAAGGAAACCCGUGAUGAUGCUGUUUCAUUGUAC